rnacentral:rRNA from 1 species
AUUGAACGCUGGCGGCAGGCCUAACACAUGCAAGUCGAGCGGAGAUGAGGUGCUUGCACCUUAUCUUAGCGGCGGACGGGUGAGUAAUGCUUAGGAAUCUGCCUAUUAGUGGGGGACAACAUUCCGAAAGGAAUGCUAAUACCGCAUACGUCCUACGGGUGAAAGCAGGGGAUCUUCGGACCUUGCGCUAAUAGAUGAGCCUAAGUCGGAUUAGCUAGUUGGGGGGGUAAAGGCCUACCAAGGCGACGAUCUGUAGCGGGUCUGAGAGGAUGAUCCGCCCAACUGGGACUGAGACAAGGCCCAGACUCCUACGGGAGGCAGCAGUGGGGAAUAUUGGACAAUGGGGGGAACCCUGAUCCAGCCAUGCCGCGUGUGUGAAGAAGGCCUUAUGGUUGUAAAGCAAUCUAAGCGAGGAGGAGGCCACUGAGACUAAUACUCUUGGAUAGUGGACGUUACUCGCAGAAUAAGCACCGGCUAACUCUGUGCCAGCCGCCGCCGUAACAC